AUUCUGCUAUGAUGAUUUAAGAAUAAAAUUCACAUGUCAGACUUCAGAGAUUUUAAUAAUCAAUGAGAAUGACAAUUCUUUUCCUGAGCUGAUU
rfam:Vigna angularis cultivar Jingnong 6 scaffold189_14, whole genome shotgun sequence.